CUAACGUGAGGGGAACAUUGUUAGACAAAGAUCUAACAGGGAGGGAAUACGUUAGUGACAACGAUCUAACGUGAGGGGAACAUUGUUAGACAAAGAUCUAACAGGGAGGGAAUACGUUAGUGACAACGAUCUAACGGGAGGGGAACAUUGUUAGACGAAGAUCUAACAGGGAGGGAAUACGUUAGUGACAACGAUCUAACGUGAGGGGAACAUUGUUAGACAAAGAUCUAACAGGGAGGGAAUACGUUAGUGACAACGAUCUAACGUGAGGGGAACAUUGUUAGACAAAGAUCUAACAGGGAGGGAAUACGUUAGUGACAACGAUCUAACGGGAGGGGAACAUUGUUAGACAAAGAUCUAACAGGGUGGGAAUACGUUAGUGACAACGAUCUAACGUGAGGGGAACAUUGUUAGACAAAGAUCUAACAGGGAGGGAAUACGUUAGUGACAACGAUCUAACGUGAGGGGAACAUUGUUGGGCUAAGAUCUAACAGGGUGGGAAUACGUUAGUGACAACGAUCUAACGUGAGGUGAAUAUUGUUGGACAAAGAUCUAACAGGGAGGGAAUACGUUAGUGAUAACGAUCUAACGUGAAGGGAACAUUGUUAGACAAAGAUCUAGCAGGGAGGGAAUACGUUAGUGACAACGAUCUAACGUGAGGGGAACAUUGUUAGACAAAGAUCUGACAGGGAGGGAAUACGUUAGUGACAACGAUCUAACGUGAAGGGAAUGUUGUUAGACUAAGACUAACAGGGAGGGAAUAACUAGAGAUACGAUCCAACAAAUGCUAACAAAUAAAGCUUGCUAUUUUGUGGAGUGAGAUUUUUAUUCUUAUUUAUCACUUUGAUAUUAUCGUGUUCAAGUAUCCUUGUGGCUAUGGCCACAUAUAGAUCUGAAUUUGAAGUGGAGAGUAGACAAUGGAAAAGGAAAGGCAGUACAAUAUACAAUAUCCUAGUACUUCCAGAAUUGACAUAUCUGAAUAGUUUGUGUAUCGCUAGUGACAACUAUGGAUCCUGCUCUGCCCAGAAUCCAUGACUAAGAUCAAUGAAAACCCAACCAACUAUUCAUCAAAUUGCAACAAAAUUUCUGUGACAAUGCAUAGUACACAUCUUUUCAUUUUGAAGGCUUAAUUUAACCAUGAAAGUACCUAAGUAUUUUACACAGAUUAAUACUGUGGUUAGACUGUGAUCUAAUGAAAGAUACUCAAUUGAACUUGUGGGGAAACAUGUUUUGCAGAAUGAUUUAACGUCAUUUUUAUUAGCAUUAUUUUGAUUUUGCAAUUUUAUUUUAUCUUAGUGGCCUUUUCUUGAAUGUUUAAUUUGUUCACAAGUGGCGCAGUCAGUGAGGGCAUUUGGGGGGUGUAUUUGGUAUAGUUUUUGAAAUCGUCAGGUUAAGCUGGGAAAAGUUCGUGAAACGCAAUGCAGAAUACUACGGUAUAUUAUGAUAUUAAUUGGUGUCUUUCAAUCUUUACAUUUCUAUCUGAAACGAUGGAGUAAAUGUCCUUCAAUUUAGUUAAUAAGAUGUGGAGGCGUUUAACCAGUAUCCAUACUGAGGCUUAGUGCAGAAGUGCUGUUUAACUAAUUUGGUUAAGCCGCUUCAUCAGCUUUUCCUUAUUCCAGGAUAAAUGUUCAGCUAUAGAGAAGUUUCAAUUCUCUUGGCUUCGUUGAUGAGUUCAUGAAGCCGUUUGAUACCUUUCCACCAUUUAAAUUCAUGUAUCUGGACUGUUAACAGCUGCAGUGUACACUGUUCCAGAACAUCAACCUGUUACUUUGACACAUGCUGAAACAAUGAUUUUUUAUCAGGUUUCUAGUAAUUGAUUUGAUGUCAACUCAUUAGAUUUGAAAUAUACUUGCAUUUUUAUCUGUCCCGUUUUCUUAAAAUGCUAUCAUUUACUGCAUAGAUAAAUUGGUUAAUGCACGAACACAACUAAGGUGACCUCAUAUGUUAAAAGACUAUUCAACUCUCAUUACGCGGUCCGAAUCCACCCUUUCGUACACGAUUUGGAUUGCAUCUGAUUCUUCGUUUUGAAGCAUUGAUCCAAUUUAGCUUUGGAUAUGUUAAGGUUUCUUUUGUUCAUAGUUUAGAGAACUAUUUUAUCAUUUGCUCACAUUUGAACUCGUAUAUAAAAAACAACUGUGGCGUCGCAUGGACAAUAUGAAUAGCGCUAUGUUAUUUUGCAAAUAAUCUUUAAGCGGGGAACUACCAUAUGCACGUUGAUGAUGUCAAACAUUUGUCACUCAGUUUUCCACCAAUUAUUUUCUAUUAGCAUUUCAACUCAAAAUGAAAUAUAUAUUUUCUGCAAGGAUCAGACCCCAGGAAUUUUAAGUUUUUUUUCCUGUAGUAAAAUUGUUUAAUGACCAUGGUUUAAGCUAUGGUCAGUCUACCUUUCAACUUAUUUUCAAAGUCAAUUUAUUUGUGGACUUGUUGAUGGUUAUAUUUUCAUUAUUUACUUCGCUGGGUAUUUCUUAUUGGUUCGGUCAAAUUUACCAUUGUUUGUUUUGUAUUCAGACAACCAUUUGAUAAAUUUAUGAUUGGCAGUUUAUCAGAGAACUGCAGCUUUUCACAUUUGGAAUUAUUUGCAUCUUUACUUUGAUGUAAGUACACUGUUCCAAAAUCUACCUAAAUAUUUCUAGAUGUGAAAAAUUAUAAAUAUAACUCAGGUCAGCAAUAAUAGUGAUUAUAUGCUGCUGAAGUAGUUUAGUAUUCAUGGUUUGAAUGUGAUUUUCAUAGUAUUUGUGAUGAGUUACAUAAACAUUGCGGAAUGACUACUGACUGGAGGAAACUCCCCCGUUUUUAUUGUUGUACUCAUCUCAAGUCAAGAUAAUGAUUUCAAAUA